rnacentral:misc_RNA from 1 species
CUAUAAGAAUGUCACUGAUUGAAAAUUGAGACUAAUUUCAAGAUUUUGUUUUACGAUUUUAAUAUAUUUUUUUUUUUUAUCUGACCACGUUUUAAUUACGAUUAAAACAGUAAUUAUUUUUUGUUGGUUAACAUAUAAUUUUUACUACACAAAUAAGUGUUAGGUACCCUGUGAUAUAGGUAUUUUACUGAAAUAAUGUAUCGAUCAAUACUCAAAUCAAUAUAAUAGUGUUUUAACUACUUUUUGUAAAUGAAAAUUAUUUAAGUUUGUUAAUUAUGUAUAUUUUUUAUGACAAAUUUAGUUUGAGUUUUACAAAACGGCGCGCAUAUACGCAAGUAAAUAGAUGACAAUGCAGUACCUAUUUAUAAUGUUAUACUUAUCUGACGAUGAAAGAAGAACAGAAGGUGGAUAGCCUUGGCCUAUAAACUACAAAAUGAUAAAUUAUAAUGUAUUUGAUUUUAUUUUAAAAAUAAAUU